UAAUGGCUCACCAAGGCGACGAUCGGUAGCUGGUCUGAGAGGAUGAUCAGCCACAUUGGGACUGAGACACGGCCCAAACUCCUACGGGAGGCAGCAGUGGGGAAUAUUGGACAAUGGGCGAAAGCCUGAUCCAGCCAUGCCGCGUGAGUGAUGACGGCCUUAGGGUUGUAAAGCUCUUUCAUCAGGGACGAUAAUGACGGUACCUGAAGAAGAAGCCCCGGCUAACUUCGUGCCAGCAGCCGCGGUAAUACGAAGGGGGCUAGCGUUGUUCGGAAUUACUGGGCGUAAAGGGUUCGUAGGCGGUGCGGCAAGUCGGAAGUGAAAUCUCUGGGCUUAACUCAGAUGCUGCUCCCGAAACUGCCGUGCUUGAGUGCGGGAGAGGCCAGUGGAAUUGCAGGUGUAGCGGUGAAAUG
rnacentral:rRNA from 1 species